rnacentral:ncRNA from 1 species
AAGUUAGUCCUAGCUUUACUAUCAAUUAUUUUUCAACUUACACAUGCAAGUCUCCACACCCCCGUGAAAACGCCCUUUAACCCACAACGGAAUAAGGAGCUGGUAUCAGGCACAACCAACCCGCCUAAAACACCUAGUCCUGCCACUCCCACAAGGGUUAUCAGCAGUGAUUAACAUUGCCCAUGAGCGACAGCUCGACUCAGUUAGAAAAUACAGGGCCGGCAAAUCCUGUGCCAGCCGCCGCGGUUAGACCGGUUAGACCCAAAUUGACAACAAACGGUGUAAAGUGCCAUAAGUUUACCCCCCCCCCCCCCUGGAAUCAAACCUACACCCAAGCAGUAAUACGCUGACAUCAAGAAACACAAGCACGAAAGUCAUUCCACCAAAAACUUAAACCCACGAUAGCUAAGAAACAAACUAGGAUUAGAUACCCUACUAUGCUUAGCCAUAAACCUUUACCCACACCUGGGAACUACGAGCAAAAGCUUGAAACCUAAAGGACUUGACGGUGCCCCAAACCCACCUAGAGGAGCCUGUUCUAUAACCGACACCACCCGAUAAACCUCACCACCACUAGCCAUACCCAGCCCGUAUACCUCCGUCGUCAGCUUAUCACUCAAGUGAAUUUUAAUAAGCCAAAUGGUCCCCACCAAUACGUCAGGUCAAGGUGCAGCAUAUGUCGUGGGCAGAAAUGGGCUACACUCCCUCACAACCAGGAAAAACAAAAGACCUAGAGAAACCAAAGUCAAAAGGCGGAUUUAGUAGUAAAAAGAAAACAGAGUGUUCUUUUUAACUCGGCCCUGGGACACGUACAGACCGCCCGUCACCCUCUCCGCCCCACAUAACUACCAAUAUAUAAGAUCAACCCCCCCCAAGAAGAGAUAAGUCGUAACAAGGUAGGCAUACCGGAAGAUGUGCCUGGAA